rnacentral:rRNA from 1 species
CUGCAACUCGCCUGCAUGAAGUCGGAAUUGCUAGUAAUCGCGGAUCAGCAUGCCGCGGUGAAUACGUUCUCGGGCCUUGUACACACCGCCCGUCACACCAUGGGAGUCGGUAACACCCGAAGUCUGUAGCCUGACGCAAGAGGGCGCAGCCGAAGGUGGGAUUGAUGACUGGGGUGAAGUCGUAACAAGGUACC